rfam:Rhizobiales bacterium TMED83 61552, whole genome shotgun sequence.
GCCGCUUUAGCUCAGUUGGUAGAGCACGUCAUUCGUAAUGACGGGGUCGCGUGUUCGAGUCACGCAAGCGGCA